AAUGUUGGACAGUUGUUGACUCAGAUUUCACAACAGACCAAUACUACUGACCCAACUGCAAUCCGGACACAGGUGCUCAGAGGGCUUCCAAUCAUCCUGGGGACAAUCCUUCAACCUUCUUCAAAGCAGGCUUUGAAUCAGAUGCUGAUUUUU